CCUACGGGAGGCAGCAGUGAGGAAUAUUGGUCAAUGGACGAGAGUCUGAACCAGUCAAGUAGCGUGAAGGAUGACUGCCCUAUGGGUUGUAAACUUCUUUUAUAAAGGAAUAAUACGAUUCACGUGUGCCUUUUUGCAUGUACUUUAUGAAUAAGCAUCGGCUAACUCCGUGCCAGCAGCCGCGGUAAUACGGAGGAUCCGAGCGUUAUCCGGAUUUAUUGGGUUUAAAGGGAGCGUAGAUGGGUUGUUAAGUCAGUUGUGAAAGUUUGCGGCUCAACCGUAAAAUUGCAAUUGAUACUGGCAGUCUAGAGUACAGUCGAGGUAGGCGGAAUAAGUGGUGUAGCGGUGAAAUGCUUAGAUAUAACGAAGAACACCGAUUGCGAAGGCAGCUUACUAAACUGUGACUGACAUUGAUGCUCGAAAGUGUGGGUAUCAAACAGGAUUAGAUACCCUAGUAGUC
rnacentral:rRNA from 1 species